UUUGUGCAAGUGAAGAGCUCAGUCCUGACCCCUUCUUUGUCUGACUCCAAAUGGUGUAGAGUUUGCAGUUUCUUCUUACUCCUUCCAUCUUGCUCGAGUAGAAUCCCCCAACCUUGCCAACUCAGUUCACCACCUCCCAUCGCACCCACAUCUCUAGUCCUCCGCCGCCAAACUCCUUCUAGCUUGGCAACAGUGUAUUACCAUCGCGUACCAGCCUCAUGUGAAGGGUUUGGAUGGUGGAUGUGUGGGACUGGGAAAGGGGUCGAGAAUCUUAAUGAGAGGGUUGUCGGGCUCUCAAACAAUAAUGCAGAAGAAACACAGUAUGUGUAGGUUUCUGAUUCAACUCAACCCACAACUAAAUUAAAGACUGGGAUGGAUUGGAUCUAGGUAGAUGUGUGGAUGGUACAGUUGAACCAAUAUUCCAAAAUGUGGAUUGUUGUCGUACUAGCCAGAACCCUAACCUCAUUCACGAGAGGGGCCUAGAAUUGUCACUAUCGGGAUAGAACUUAGUGCUCAAUCCAUGAAAUCAAUCUCAUGACAUGUCGUCGUUUCUUAUACUUGUACAGCGUAUCAAAAAUUCCCAAGUAACAAAAAAGGGAAGUCCCCAACUCAAACCCAAAACUUUUAUGUCCAAGUUCUCAUAAUAUGUGGCUUGCGCAAAACAAGAAAGUUCGCUCUUAUGAAAGUUAAUCUUAGUAUAGUUUAGGGGUUAAGUGAGCCCCAAAACUAGCCUGCAAUGAAAAGCGAGAUAAGUCGAUACUUCAGGGGUGACAAGUGAGCGUGGCUCACUAGAGAUUGGGAGCCAUAAUCGCGAUAUCUCCACACGACACUCAUGUUGAACAUACUAUGGUUGCACCCGGGCGCAUGAGGUAGUUAGGAUAGAUAGAUAGAUAGAGAUAGAUUGUUUUCCUUUCUCUCCACGUUCUAUCUCUUCCUUGAAUAUCUCCCUCUCUCUGUAAUCUCAACAAUGUAUGCGCUAUGGUUGGGAGGUGCACCCCAACUCUAUUUAACAUGAACCGGUCGGCCUCAACAGGCUAAGACGUUUCCAGCUAUCGCACAUGGUAGUUAGAGCCAUCCUUUUCCCAUCUAAACUCCAUACAAACUCCAUCUAGCCCUAGCCAUGUCUUCAUCCUCUGUCGCCUCCCAAACCAGCCUCAAUAGCCAGGUUACCGAGAAGCUAACGCGCACAAACUAUGUGCUAUGGCGCACGCAAGUGAUUCCCCAGUUGUGUGGCGCCGGUAUCUUCGGCUACGUCGAUGGCACCCAGCCAGAGCCGGCGAGACUACUCCUCACCACCAAGGACGGCAAGGAGACUUCAUCGCCCAACCCUCUCCACCCAAUCUGGGUCAGGGAGGAUCAGCAGGUUCUCGGAUACCUGCUGAACAAUCUGACACGCGAGGUGCUGCUCACGAUGACCACGGUCACCACCGCGGGCACGCUCUGGACGACGCUCGCCGGCAUGUUUUCCUCGCAGUCCGCCAGCCGCAUCAACAACAUAUGAACCUCCCUCAUCAACGCAUAGAAGGGCAACCUCUCCGUCGCCUCCUACUUCGCCGCCAUGCGCAGCUACGCCGACGAGCUAGCAGUCGCGGGCAAGGCGAUCCCUGACGACGAACUUGCCUCCUACAUCAUCCACGGGCUCGACGCCGACUAUCAGCCCCUAGUCUCUGCCCUAGACACUCGCGUGACCCACGUAACCCUUGAUGAGCUCUUUGCCAUGUUAUCCAAUUUCGAUCAGCGCAUGGCCCAGUUCCAAGGAUCUGGCCGUGGCGGCUUCAAGUUGUCCGCCAACGUGGCCACUCGCGGGCGGGGCGGCGGCUCCCGAUCAUGUGACUCCUCUCGCAACAAGGGCAGGUCCGGCGGCGGCAACCAUGGCAUCAUGCCACCUCAAUCUGGUGGCUGCGGUCGCCGUGGACGCGGUGCUGGUGGUGGAGGCAUAAACCGCCCGGACGCUUCCCGGUGCCAAAUCCGCGGCAAGCCCGGACACACAGUGAAGGACUGCUGGUAUAGGUAUGAGGAGGACGACUACGACUCGCAAGAUGACGAGAAAGUCGCUGUGGCGGCCGAUGGCUCCUACGGCGUCGACACAAAUUGGUACGUCGACAGCGGAGCCACCAACCACAUCACCAACGAGCUCGAGAAAGUCACUAUGAAGGAAAAAUACCGCGGCAAGGAUCAAAUCCACACUGCCAGCGGAGAAGGUAUGAGUAUGCGCCACUUUGGUCACUCAAUAUUUCAUACCCCUCAACGCAAAAUUCAUCUUAGAAAAAUUCUGCAUGUUCCUAGAGCAAAUAAAAGUCUUCUUUCUGUCCAUCGAAUUGCCCUUGACAAUCAUGUCUUUUUGGAAUUUCACCCUUAUUAUUUUUUGAUCAAGGAUCAGGCAACGAGGACAAUUCUCUAUCGAGGUAGAUGCGUUGGCGGCCUCUAUCCGUUGAUUCCGAAGUUUCGAAGACAAAAUAAACAAGCUUGUGGUGCUAUCAAGCUGUCAUCCACACGUUGGCAUGAUCGUUUAGGACAUGCUUCUUUUUCUAUAGUUGAAAAGUUACUUGGGAAAAAUAAACUCCCGUUUGUUGGUGAGCGUCAUAAUGAAACAAUUUGUGAUUCAUGUCAGAGAGCUAAGAGUCAUCAGUUGCCUUACCCAAUUUCUAUCAGUAUUUCUACCAAACCAUUACAGUUGAUUUUUCCUGAUGUUUGGGGCCCUGCUCCCACUUCUGUUGGUAGACACAACUAUUAUGUCAGUUUUAUCGAUGAAUAUAGCAAAUUCUCUUGUAUAUAUCUCUUAAAGAAACGAUCUGAUGUGUUUCAAGUUUUCAAAAACUUUCAAGCUCUAGUUGAACGAAAGUUUGACAGUAAGAUCAUUGUUGUCCAAUCUGACUGGGGAGGGGAGUACGAAAUGUUGAACUCCUUCUUCCAGACACUUGGUAUCUCACACCAUGUGUCAUGCCCUCAUGCUCACCGGCAAAAUGGGUCAGCUGAACGCAAGCAUCGGCACAUCGUUGAAGUUGGCCUUGCUCUUUUGGCCGUCGCUUUCAUGCCUCUUAAAUUAUGGGAUGAAGCAUUUCUCACUGUCGUUCAUAUCAUCAACAUGCUACCUAGUCAUGUCAUUAAUCAUGAAACUCUUAUAGAAAGGCUUCUUCACACAAAACCAGACUAUAAGUCUCUUAGUGUCUUUGGGUGUGCCUGUUGGCCAAACCUACGUCCCUACAAUAAUCGCAAACUCAUGUUUCGAUCAAAACAUUGUGUUUUCCUUGGCUAUAGUGCUCAGCAUAAGGGGGUCAAGUGCCUGGAUGUCUCCACUGGACGUGUCUACAUAUCCCGUGAUGUAGUCUUUGAUGAAACUAAGUUCCCUAUUGUUGAUCUUCACCCUAAUGUCGGCGCACUUCUUCGAGAAGAAAUUCUUCUCUUGCAACCUCAUCUCACUGGCUUUGAUCAAGGGGGACAAAAUAUUGAUGAUCAAUUGUUGGCUAACUCAUCUAAUGGCAUGCAUAAGUCAUGUGUCGAUGCAACAGGUGAAAACGGCGAAGAAAAUGAAGCAAACGGUGCAAAAUUUGGGCUAUAUCCCAUGUGCCCCGUGGCCGGAGACAGACCCGCCUCGGGGUCGGCAAUGGCGCAGGCGAUCAGAUCCGCCUCAGGAUCGCUAACGGUGCAAGAGGGGGGAUCCUCCUCGGGAUCAGCCACCGCAGAGGGGGCAGGCACAGGCGCAGGCGCACGCGCUCCCGUGCCGGAUUCACGCCGCGACGAUCCCGCGUCUGCCACGCGGCCUCCUCCGAUUGGCGUGCAGUACGGUGCCCAACCAGUCAUGUACAAGCGGCGGGACUUGGUACAUGCCAGGGAGGACGCGGGCCCAGCGGGUCCCCCCACGAGCGGUCGGCCGACCGGCGGGCACGUAGAGGCACAGGGCUCGGGAUUCUCUGGGCCAACGGCAGACGCCGCGCUUCAGCCGUUGGCCACAGAAGAUCCGGCCAACCCUGCGGGCGCUGGCGCUGCUGCCGUGACAGGAUCUGCCUCGGGCGCUGGCGCUGCUGCCGUUACAGGAUCCGCCUCGGGAUUAGUUGUAGCUGCAGCUGAUGAUCCUGCACCGCACCCUGGAUCCUCUGCGGCUACGGAUUUUGCUGCCCCACCAUCACGGCGUACACGGUUGCAACAAGGGGUAACUCAACCCGUAAAUUAUAAACAUAUGACUAAAUAUGGUUUGGUCUGUUCCACAGAAGAACCAGAUGAACCCAAAACCUUUGCUGCAGCACUCUGUGAUGAUAAGUGGAAGAAGGCAAUGAAUGAGGAGUACAUGGCACUAAAGAAAAACAAAACAUGGCACCUGGUUCCACCACAACAAGGUAAAAUUUUAAUUGAUUGCAAGUGGGUUUUCAGAAUUAAGAGGAGAUCUGAUGGAACCAUUGACCGCUAUAAGGCUAGGCUCGUUGCAAAAGGUUUCAAACAGCGAUAUGGCAUAGACUAUGAGGAUACUUUUAGUCCUGUGGUAAAAGCUGCCACUAUUCGUCUCGUUUUGUCCAUUGUUGUUUCCAGAGGAUGGAGUCUCAGGCAGCUUGAUGUACAUAAUGCGUUUCUCCAUGGUGUUCUGGAAGAGGAUGUGUACAUGAAACAACCUCCUGGGUUUGAAAGUAAGAAUACUCUUUCUUGUGUGUGCAAGCUUGAUAAAGCCCUAUAUGGAUUAGAACAAGCUCCAAGGGCAUGGUAUUCUCGCAUCUGUCACAAGAUGCAAAAACUUGGAUUUGUUCCUUCUAAAUCAGACACAUCAUUAUUUAUUUAUAACAAAUCCAAUACAUGCAUAUUUGUUCUCAUUUAUGUUGAUGACAUUAUUGUGACCAGCUCAUCUGAUGAAGCAAUCAGAGGUCUCUUAAGCGAAUUGAGUGCAGAGUUUGCGUUAAAGGAUCUUGGAGACUUGCACUUCUUCCUUGGGAUUGAGGUAAAUAAGCAUCAGAAUGGACUUCAUCUCUCUCAAGCAAAAUAUGCGGCUGAUCUGGUUAAAAGGGCAGGAUUGCAAGGUUGUAAACCCUCACUCACUCCAUUAUCCAGCUCAAAAAAAUUGUCUCUUGCAGAAGGUAAACUUUUGAGUCAGGAAGAUAGCGCAAAAUAUAGAAGCCUUGUAGGAGCUCUUCAGUGUCUAACUCUUACCAGACCUGAUUUAUCUUUUGCUUUCAACAAAGUCUGCCAGUUUUUGCAUGCACCUACUGAUGUUCACUUGACAGCUGCCAAGCGUAUAGUCAGAUAUGUUAAACAUACUCUCAAUAUAGGUCUAAAUUUCAGCAAGCCAUCUUCUAUCCUUGUCAGUGGCUUUUCUGAUUCAGACUGGGCAGGGUGCCUGGAUGACAGGCACUCAACAGGUGGUUUUGCAGUGUUUUUUGGGCCUAACUUAAUAUCAUGGUGUGCACGCAAACAGGCUACUGUAUCCAGGUCAAGCACCGAGGCAGAGUACAAAGCAUUAGCAAAUGCUAUAGCUGAAAUCAUAUGGGUUCAGUCUAUGUUGAAAGAGUUUGGGGUAAAGAGUAAACAAGCUCCAUGUCUGUGGUGUGACAAUCUUGGAGCCACUUAUCUUUCUGUUAAUCCUGUGUUCCAUGCCAGAACAAAGCACAUAGAGAUAGACUUUCAUUUUGUGAGAGAGAGAGUUGCUCAAAAGCAACUUGACAUUUGGUUUGUGCAUUCAAAAGAUCAUAUUGCAGAUGGAUUUACAAAGCCUUUGCCCACAAGGAGUUUUGAAGAAUUCAAGCAUAAUCUCAAUUUAAUGAAGUUGUGAUUACGGGAGGGUGUUGAACAUACUAUGGUUGCAGCCGUGCGCAUGAGGUAGUUAGGAUAGAUAGAUAGAUAGAGAUAGAUUGUUUUCCUUUCUCUCCAAGUUCUAUCUCUUCCUUGAAUAUCUCCCUCUCUCUGUAAUCUCAACAAUGUAUGCGCUAUGGUUGGGAGGUGCGCCCCAACUCUAUUUAACAUGAACCCGUCGGCCUCAACAGGCUAAAACGUUUCCAGCUAUCGCACAACUCAAUCACAAGUAGGUUGAGAUUCAUAGUGCAAGGCUGCAAACACUACAACGAGCAUGACACAUCAUAUAGUUUCUUUUACUUUUCGUUGGCACUUGAGACAAUAGGCAUGGCCUAACAUCGACACCCCUCAUUUAAGCAAAGAAAAAAAAUUCUAUCUCAUCGUAAUGAUCAUCAGGACAGCUUUUUGUCUCUGCCAUUCGCACCAGACAGGGCCGGGCUAUUCGCAGCAAGCAGCAAAGCCACGGCACGAACAACAAGAGCAGCACAACGGGGGGCAAAAGAAGAAAAGACAGAGCGUGGAUUUGUACCAGGAUUAUUCGGCUGGUUCCUUAAAAAACCAGGCACUCGGCCUGGCCGGAAUGCCCAUCAUUUCAGGAAGCAUAUAUGGUGGAGCUUUAACCAACACAACAGUUACGGCACCGCGCGAGUGGCCUCCGGAAUCAUUGCUAGAUCAUGUCACAAACACACUACCUGUACCCAGAAUCGCAUGAAUUCAGGGAGUGAUUGCGCUUUACUUUAUGCGUCUGCAUAAUCAAUCCAACUGCGUACUCCAAGCAUCAGAAUGUUCGGAUUAAAAUGUACAUCUAGUGCAUCUCAAGUACUCCCUCCGUAAAGAAUUAUAAGAGCGUUUAGAUCACUACUAGUGAUCUAAACGCUCUUAUAUUACUUUACAGAAGGAGUACUAUUAGAAAGCAGUGCGUUCGGCGCGUUUGAAAGCAACUCCAGCAUAUUCCCAACCAGGCAAGGGGCUCAUUUUGAGCACAAACAUCAUACAUGUGUCAGGAAAAUAUACAGCAUUGAAGAAUGUGGAAAUGGCAAAGAUACUACCAAAUACAGAGGAGUAUAUGCCAUAAAAUGACAUGCCCAUGAUCUUGUAUAGAAAGAUCCAUGCAGAUAUAAGGUGCCAAUACGUUGUUAUGGAUACAACACAUCAAAAAACAAAACUUCUCAGAAGUAGCAAAAUUUGGCUAUAUAAACGUUUUGGGACUACAGAUAUCAGCGUCGCAAAAUGUAAAGAACGUAAAUAUACCUGGGGUGUAUGGAAACCUAACCAUCAGUGUCCCUUGCAACACAAUAAUGAGCAAAUGUCACAUGUUCAGAUCCACAUUUCUGUACCUUGCCUGACAGAUAAAAAAGCUUCUGGUGCCAUCAAAAAUAUACAUGUUCUUCAAUAAUGAAAACAAUGAUGCAAAGCAAUCACCCAACAAAAUGCACCCCUUGUCUUACGAGUUCUAACAGACAAUAAUGGUACCAUAAGGUAGAAACUUAGAAGCAAUAUUAACUACUCAGUGGUCCAACAAACAUUAAAACAAACUUUUACGCAAUAUGGCGUUAGAAGCUCAACGGUUGAACUAUAUAUCAAUUGUCAGAAUGGCUAGGUAAAGUAAGAAAAACAUUAUUCCAGUGACUGGACAGCAGCAAUACAAAACAAGACUAUGAUAUCCACAUAAGCCAUCAUACACAUAUCACCAAGAAGUUAAGGAAAAGGAAUAGUCAGCAGUCUACACUAAACAAGUACUAGGUCUGUUACCUAUGAUCAGAGGCUACCAAUACCAAGUUAGCAUCAAUGAUUUUUCGUUAAGAUACAAUUUCAUCGAUCACCGUGUCAUAUAAACAUGUACCAUCUCAAGGAAAAUUUGUAAAAGAUGUGGUUAAUAACUUCAAGAAAACAAACCAUAGCUAGUAUACUAACACAGAAAUGAUAUCAAUAUAUCUAUCUUCCACAUCAGAUAUCUCAUGCAAAUUUGAAUCGAUGAACUUCAAAAGGGAACAAAGACAACAGUAUUGUCGAACACCAUGGUAAAUAUGAUUAUGAUAAGAAAAAAUGACAGGGUGAAUGUUCACACACACACAAAAGAAAUACCACUUACGAACAAAACCCUACUUGAGUUGAACAUAAAUUAAAUGACAAGCUAGCAGAUUUACAAUAUAUUAGGUCACACCCAGGUUAUAAACAAACAUAACAUAAAAGCUACAGGUAAUCAAAAUCCUAAUCACACCUAGGCUUCCCAAGUGCAUGGAUUACAUAGCAAGUUAGCAAUCCCAAUAUUUUAAUCGGUGAGUACAAAAGUUGCUUCAACCGAUUAAUCCUUUUCAUCUAUUAGUAAUCGGUGAACAAUAAUUUGUUUCACAGCAAGUCAUUAAUCACAAGACCAAGUUGAUGCCAUAAACUUAACAGGACAAACAAUAGUUUUUCAGGCACACUAGCUGGGGAUUAACAAAUGUCACCCCAUAAGAGUUGGGCUAGUCAUCAAUUAGAUCACCAUCAUCACAAGAAUACAAGCAGCACAUGUCCACAUUACUAGAUCCGUUGAAAUUUUUGUCCAAAGAAAAGGGACGUGACAGAAGUUAGUAGCAUUGAUAAAAAAACAUGUGAUGAUCGUGCCUUCACGGAUAUAAUAUAAAUAAAUAUACACAUAUCAAGCCAAUUUAUUGUGCCAAUUAUAUGCCUCAACAGUCUGUCACUGUUGACCCAGUUUGUCAAGUGACACACGUCUCUGAACACAACACAAUUAUAUGCCCAGGUGCAAUGACAAAAUUCUGGUGUUAAAUUCUUUCAUAUAGAACAAAUUAAGUCCAAGGGCGACUAAAUAGCAGCACCUUAUCUAGUAUGACUAGUUAAAUGGAAACAGAAACAUCAGGCAGGAAAGGAGGAAACCUUGUCCAACAGUAGCAGCAGCAGGUGUACAAUUAGUCAAGCAGCAGCACGAUUCAAGGAGAGAGUCAAGGCCUACGAAGCCCCCAAAGUCUACCAUCUACAAGCUGAUGAAAUAAAGAAGAUAGCUGAACAGUAACCGUGCUCCCCAAAGGAUGGCAACAGUCGACAUGGCGACAUGGACGGACGCCAUCAUCGCGCACAUGAGAUAAUAGCAGCUUUGAUGAUGAAAAGAUAGCCCAGCGACUAACACCAAUCCCAAAAAAAUUAACAUAUACUUCAUCAUGGCUGAUGAGCCAUGCAUGAAUGGCCUGCCCAUGUGCAUGAUGCGGCUGGGUAACUUGCAACAGCAGCUUAAGCAAGCAGGCUAUAGUGUAGCCGACCAAGAUUUUCACCCAGCAAGCAAAGGAGAAAGAAGGCUGCAAUCCCAGGCAGUGAACCGUGUCAAAUCAGGCAUGCAUGGGUUUGCUUUUCACACGCCUUUCUUUCCUUUCCUUUCACAUCUUGUCAAUCCGGCACGGGGAAUCAAUAUGGGGGCUAGCACAAAAAACCAUGGCUGGUAGGAUAGGAAGGUGGAGCACAGCACAGGAAGCAACCAUGAAUGAUCCUGCCUCCUCUCCUCCUCAUGCAUCUCCUCUAGCCUCUUCUACAGCAUCAACAUGCAUGCCAAUUAUCAAAAGAUGAAGAUGCUAGUAACAUAGUUUAACAUGUAGCAUAAGUGUAGUAGUAGAUAAGAUGGUGUAUAAUAAGCGCAAGAAUUCCCUCAUCACAUGCAGCAUUACACACUGGCCUCUCUCUAGGACACAAGUUCCAAUGCAAUUAGAAGAUGCUCUAUCUACAAAGCACAAAGCCAAUGCCAAGAGUGCAUCCAUAUGCCUCCCAUUCCUUCAAUCCUACCUACCCGUGGAAAAAGAUGGGGAAAACAAACAGGGAAAAGGGUGCUCCGAUGAGUGGGUGAGAUAAACAAGAUAGGCAUGGCAAGCAUUGGAUGCCAAAUCGGCCACGCAAAGGAGUGAAAACCAAGCAAGCGAGUGUUGGCAAGAGUCAAACUUUUCUGCUCAGCCUAUCAUGAUAAUCUAUCUAUCUAUCUAUCAGCAGGAGAGAAGCCUGAACAGUGCACGCCUCUGGAUCCCAGCCUGCUCGAAAUGGCACCCACGGCCUACAUGGUUUGCACCCCUGAACACAUCCCCAUAAUUGGAAAGGCAGGCAUUGGGAACAUAAGCAAAGCAUGAGACAAGAAGAAACCAAUUGGACAAAACCAGCAGGCAAUAACCUGAUCAAUUCAGUAUGCAGAGUACUACUAGUGUUGAUUUGAUCUUCAUUAUCUUGUUUAACAUUCCUAAUUGACAAUUAUUCUUCUCUAAGAGUACAUUAGUACUGCUAGAAAAUUAAGGAACUGAUGUCAUACAGCAUGAACAAAUUAAUGGCGAACACCAUGCAUUGCAUUGCACCCCGGCCAUGAGAGGGUUGACAGGUUUGUACUUACUAGCAAUGAAGAGAAGAAAGGAAAGAAUGGUACUGUAGUAAUGAUCUACUAUGUGAC
rnacentral:lncRNA from 1 species